GAUGACGCUGGCGGCGUGCCUAAUACAUGCAAGUCGAACGAGUUUUGGUCGAUGAACGGUGCUUGCACUGAGAUUCGACUUAAAACGAGUGGCGGACGGGUGAGUAACACGUGGGUAACCUGCCCUUAAGUGGGGGAUAACAUUUGGAAACAGAUGCUAAUACCGCAUAAAUCCAAGAACCGCAUGGUUCUUGGCUGAAAGAUGGCGCAAGCUAUCGCUUUUGGAUGGACCCGCGGCGUAUUAGCUAGUUGGUGAGGUAACGGCUCACCAAGGCGAUGAUACGUAGCCGAACUGAGAGGUUGAUCGGCCACAUUGGGACUGAGACACGGCCCAAACUCCUACGGGAGGCAGCAGUAGGGAAUCUUCCACAAUGGACGCAAGUCUGAUGGAGCAACGCCGCGUGAGUGAAGAAGGCUUUCGGGUCGUAAAACUCUGUUGUUGGAGAAGAAUGGUCGGCAGAGUAACUGUUGUCGGCGUGACGGUAUCCAACCAGAAAGCCACGGCUAACUACGUGCCAGCAGCCGCGGUAAUACGUAGGUGGCAAGCGUUAUCCGGAUUUAUUGGGCGUAAAGCGAGCGCAGGCGGUUUUUUAAGUCUGAUGUGAAAGCCCUCGGCUUAACCGAGGAAGCGCAUCGGAAACUGGGAAACUUGAGUGCAGAAGAGGACAGUGGAACUCCAUGUGUAGCGGUGAAAUGCGUAGAUAUAUGGAAGAACACCAGUGGCGAAGGCGGCUGUCUGGUCUGUAACUGACGCUGAGGCUCGAAAGCAUGGGUAGCGAACAGGAUUAGAUACCCUGGUAGUCCAUGCCGUAAAGGAUGAUGCUAGGUGUUGGAGGGUUUCCGCCCUUCAGUGCCGCAGCUAACGCAUUAAGCAUUCCGCCUGGGGAGUACGACCGCAAGGUUGAAACUCAAAGGAAUUGACGGGGGCCCGCACAAGCGGUGGAGCAUGUGGUUUAAUUCGAAGCAACGCGAAGAACCUUACCAGGUCUUGACAUCUUUUGAUCACCUGAGAGAUCAGGUUUCCCCUUCGGGGGCAAAAUGACAGGUGGUGCAUGGUUGUCGUCAGCUCGUGUCGUGAGAUGUUGGGUUAAGUCCCGCAACGAGCGCAACCCUUAUGACUAGUUGCCAGCAUUGAGUUGGGCACUCUAGUAAGACUGCCGGUGACAAACCGGAGGAAGGUGGGGAUGACGUCAAAUCAUCAUGCCCCUUAUGACCUGGGCUACACACGUGCUACAAUGGAUGGUACAACGAGUUGCGAGACCGCGAGGUCAAGCUAAUCUCUUAAAGCCAUUCUCAGUUCGGACUGUAGGCUGCAACUCGCCUACACGAAGUCGGAAUCGCUAGUAAUCGCGGAUCAGCACGCCGCGGUGAAUACGUUCCCGGGCCUUGUACACACCGCCCGUCACACCAUGAGAGUUUGUAACACCCGAAGCCGGUGGCGUAACCCUUUUAGGGAGCGAGCCGUCUAAGGUGGGACAAAUGAUUAGGGUGAAGUCG
rnacentral:rRNA from 1 species